rnacentral:lncRNA from 1 species
AUCUUCUCAGAUUUCGUCCCUGGUGGAACAAAGUGUAAGGUCAGCACUCAGAGGCUUUGACAGUCCCUGUUUUGGAACCAAACCAUAGAACCACUUGACCACUGAAGAGAGCUCUCUUUAAACAGGAGCUGCUGUCUCCAUCGUGAAGAUGCUGGGCAGGGGGGCACAUGGAAGAGUGUAAAAUAAUUUGAAUGAAGUCAAGACACUCGCCCUUUUGGCAAACUCUUGGCCUUGAACAUGUGGCAGCCACAUGGACUGGAUUUUCAGAACUUUGGGGGUGUCAGUUGUUCUGUUACACUGAGAAGUUCCUGAGUUUGGGCAUCUAAAUUUCAUUUUAUUCAUUUCAUUUAAAUUUCAGACAUUUGGG